UCAUCCCUUGUGGUCGGGAAGGAGGUAAAGGUCAAAAGACAACUGUCUAACUGAAGUAUUUGAAGUCCAGAUUGUGUUUUACCUACUUUCUUGCAUUUGAAACAAAAAGUUAGUGUACUAUAUUUGUGAUCAAUUUAGUAUGGCCUGAUGCAGGUCAAAUGCCAACCGUUAUUUAAUUAUAGUGUUAACGCUACAGCCAACCCUUAUCAUGAAUUUCUCAGUUUCCCUUUGAGAUUGAAGAUGCACUUGGCAGCAGAGAGGUGAGUGAAUUAUGAAUGCAUGUCACCUAGCUGUCCUUGUGCAAAGAGAAAGUAGCUGCUUUCCAAACCCCCCUGACAGGAAGUUGGAGAAAGUUUGCUGUUGUCUGAAAAAUAAUAGUGCAUGAAAAUACAAACAACAAAGUGGGCAUAAAUUUUAAAAUGGUCUUCAUCUGUCAGUGUGCAUUACUCUUAGUUUUAUAGAGCUAUAUCCUUAAUUGCCUCAAUGGUUAAGAUGUGUGUUUGAUACAAUUAAACCAAUUUGUUAUCCUGUUUAUAAUUGAACUAAUGAUAAAAAUCAUAUCACUCCUGUGAAAUGUCCUCCUGUGUUAAUUGAUGCCCUUCUAAUCCAUUUGGUGCAAUUCCUAAAAUACCUUUUCUCAAGCCAUUAAUUUACUUGCUGACUUUUUUUUUAAAAGAUGCUUCAUUUCCUUUUAUAGCUCCGAAUGUUUCUUAACACUUUAAAUCAAAGAUUGCUGUCUGAUUCACAGAACUUUGUAGGUGUAUUUACACUUGUUAAAUAUUUCUACAGUCCCUACAAGUGCCCUGAAUAAUGAUUACAAUUUAAGGCCACACAGGACAUUCCUUGGAUACUUGCUUUUACCUGAAAAGUAUAAAUGUACCAUUCCUUUUAAUUGCCACCAUAUCCGUGUGUUCCCCAAAUUCUUAGCAUGUAUUUCAGUUAUUUCAUUUUUUAAUGGGCUUUCUUAUUUUCUAUGAAAACCACACAUUUUGUGAAAAAUGUUUUAAACCCACUUUUAAUCGAGAUGGUGGUGUCUGAAGUAUUGAAAGUAAAUCAGUUCUGGAGUGGAGAUUGAGGAAAAGAAUACCUACCUGGACUUUGUUCCCUUUUAUAAUUCAGCUGGCCUGAAGCCUUUUGUACUUGUGAACAUUGACAUAAAACAAAGUACUAGGCUGCUGCUGUUGUCACUGAUGGGUGCUGGUUACUGCUUAGAUAUGACUAUUCCCCUCUGAAUUCUUUUAUUUCUGCUGAUCACAAUGUACAGAAUGCUAAGGCUCUGCAUCGUCGUAUGUCCCUAAAUGUGCAGAUUUUUACCUUGAAGCCUAUUGUUUUAACUCCUUUUGGUACAUCCACCAAUAAUUUAAAUUACAUAAACCCUCUGAAAAGCAAGUAGUCAUAUUUAAACAUUGAAGGUCAGAACAUUAAAGAGCUUCUGGAAGUGGGUAAAAUGUGGGUGGUAAUCGUGCAUUUGUCUUCAAGUUAGGUGCAAACUAAGAAGCUGCAAGUCUACUGGCAAAAAAAAUCAACUGCUGCACAAAAGUCUUUGCAACUUCUCUAGGUUCCAAAUGGAGUUGCAAAACUUUGCUAUCCACUGAACUGGCACAAGAUUUUGUGGGAAGGGGAAGAUCAUAUGGAUUAGUACAAAUGUUUCUUAAAUGCUCAGUUACUCUACUUCUGAAGUCACUUGUUUUUGGAUUAUAGGCUGUAGGAGUUGGAAUAGCUUGUUUCUUUAAACAAGAAAGCAAUUGUAAUAUUCAUGGUUGAGCUUUCUCAAUUUUUUGAAGAAUUAAAUUGCAAACGUUUGGUACUGACUUUUCUGCAAAAUAUCAAUUGAUUGACUGAAAUCUUGAACGUCAUUACUGAUUCUGCAUGACUAAUAUGGAAGUACCUGUGGGUUUUAUCUCCUGCAUUUCAAGAUUGCAACUACCCAUCACGUGUGAAGGCAUGCCACUGUAAAACCUCAUUGAACACUGUUUAAUAAACUAUUUACAAUAAAUGUUUGGGGUUCAAGAUUAAAAUCAACUCUGCAAGCAGCUUGUGUAUUGAAUGAGCUUUUUUAAAAAUCCCAUAAUCAAUAAUGAAAGCAAAAUAAUGCAUGUGGGAGACAAUUUUUAUAUUGUUACUUGCCCUUAAAAGAAAAGUGCAAAGUCUUUGGAAUCGCAUCAUAGAACAACCCUAACAAUGGCUGCUAUGGGAGGAAGUAUUGCCUACAAUAACAAAAUAAAAUUGAUGUAUCACCUUUAUAAAGAUUCCUAUGCUAUUCAGAAGUGUACGAAUUGCUUUUAUGGAUACUUUACCUAGUCAUUCAUGCUUUUUAUCGUAAAUUUACAAAUGCAACUAAUGUGCUUGCAUUGUGAUAGAGUCCAGAUCACCCACUAUUUUUAUGAACACCUGUCCUCCGCAUCUCAUUGCCUUAAAGUCCAGUUUGUGAUAACUCUGAGGCACACUAACAUAUUCUGACACUCUGCACAGAAUUUAAUGGAGCUUGCCAGAGGCCAUGUAAUGGGUGGAGGGAACUGGACAGUGAUUUCUGUAUGGCAUUGAGAAAAUUGUUCCCAAUUAUGUUUGGAGUGAAAAGGAUCUGCGACAGAAAUCUGGUCUGCUAGACACUAAUCAAACUUGAGCCCAUUGGAGUUUUAGUAGUAGCUCAGAUAUUAAAUAGAAGUCAAAUGGCUCUCCUGUGGUUCCCAACAGCUGCCGAGAAAGUCCAGUCAGGUUUUGUUAUGCAGUUUUCUUUGGAGUGGGGCUUUGAAAAGCCUUCACUUUAAAGGUUAUACUGAGAAUAAUGUAUUAAGGAUAUAUCAGCCUUAUGGGGGUGCUGAUUAAUACUAUAUGUUAAGUUUCAGUCUAAGUUUUAACUACUUGUUGGUGUAUUAAGCCUGACUGGGAUAAGAAAAAGCACAUCUUCAAACAAAGCACAUAUAAUGGAACUUGGUAUAAAUCAUGACUGCUUUUUUUUAGUUUUCCUCCCACCCCUUCCUCUUUAGUUUUGAAUAUGCACUGAUGAAUCUCUAGUUUCAACAGGCUAAAUGGUGCUUGUUUAAGAUCUGUGUAAUUUUCUAUUCUGUUAGAUACUUGAACAAUUUUAAAUCAUUAUUAUAAUGAAUUCUGUUACUAAAUUUGACUCCCCCACACUUAGGGAAGUCCAUAGCGGGUACUGGUGCAAUAUUGUUAAUGGUAACUCCAGAUAUGGCCUUUAUGGUUGAAUGUCAUUUCACCUCAUGGAUCUCACCAAACUAAAAUUCUACCACCUUUCUCCAAAUAUAUAAAUAUUCCCAGUGCCAAAGAAAUGGCUGUCACUUUUUGAUGCACUGUUCGUUUGAGUUUGGUGCCCCAUAAUUCAGAUCUACCAUUUGCCAGAUUUGCUUUAUUAAAAAUGAAACCUUUGUUCAGUUCUAAAGUGCUAAUGUUAUCUUAGUGUUUUGUAGAGGAUAAAAUUAAAAUCUUGUGAACAUUUUGUUGAUCCUGUGUCUUGUCAGUGUGUCUGUGCUGUGGAAAAUCUGUUAUUUUUAAAGAGUGCAAUGAAUGGUACUGUAAUAAAUACACAAAAUAGCUUCA